rnacentral:rRNA from 1 species
CCUACGGGAGGCAGCAGUGAGGAAUAUUGGUCAAUGGACGAGAGUCUGAACCAGCCAAGUAGCGUGAAGGAUGACUGCCCUAUGGGUUGUAAACUUCUUUUAUAUGGGAAUAAAAUGUUCCACGUGUGGGAUUUUGUAUGUACCAUAUGAAUAAGGAUCGGCUAACUCCGUGCCAGCAGCCGCGGUAAUACGGAGGAUCCGAGCGUUAUCCGGAUUUAUUGGGUUUAAAGGGAGCGUAGGUGGAUUGUUAAGUCAGUUGUGAAAGUUUGCGGCUCAACCGUAAAAUUGCAGUUGAAACUGGCAGUCUGGAGUACAGUAGAGGUGGGCGGAAGUCGUGGUGUAGCGGUGAAAUGCUUAGAUAUCACGAAGAACUCCGAUUGCGAAGGCAGCUCACUGGACUGCAACUGACACUGAGGCUCGAAAGUGUGGGUAUCAAACAGGAUUAGAUACACCUGUAGUC